UUUAUCAGUUCUAGAUGCUCAUAGUGAGUCUUCCUUGAACAAUAUUGUGGAGGGUUCAAGAACUGUUGGUAAACAAGUCAAUCGCAUUAAUAUGGUGUCCAUAUGACAUGAUGUCCAUAACACUCAGGCCCAUGAGUGCUGGAGCUUGUUGGAGCUCAUUGCCAUCUAAGCUCUGCCAUGAACAUGCUUCUAUCAUCAUAUGCUCUAAGGAAGAUGAUAACCAUUACGAUAGUGACUUUUCCAGUGGAUCGUCUGCUUACAAAGAGUUUCUUGACCAGAAUCAGAUUUAAAAUAGAAUUCAAAAAUUUUGUUUCCUAUAAAUUUUGCAAAGCAUUGCACAUUAUUAUGAUACCAUCACAUUUACACUCUUUAAAGAUAGUUCGUGACUAUGCUCAGUUCAAGAUGAAUUGUACUUGGGUAUGUAAAACAUUGAUUUGUUUAUUUUCAAAGUUAUGGCUGAUUUACGGUUAA